rnacentral:pre_miRNA from 1 species
UAGUUACUGUGAUGUUGGCUCGGUUCACUCAGACAAAAAGAAAAAAAAAAAGAAAAAGRAAAAACAAACACAYAUAUGCAUGCAUUUUUCUCUUUUAGCUUUGAUUGAGCCGUGCCAAUAUCUCAGUGCCUUUU